UACCUGCAGCUCGAGUGGUAACCGCUAUCAUUGGGCCUAAAGCGUCCGUAGCCGGUUUGGUAAAUAUCUGGGUAAAUCGUGAGGCUUAACUUCACGAAUUUCGGAUAGACUGCCAGACUUGGGAUCGGGGGAGGUCAGAGGUACUCCAGGGGUAGCGGUGAAAUGUUGUAAUCCUUGGAGGACCACCGGUAGCGAAGGCGUCUGACUAGAACGGGUCCGACGGUGAGGGACGAAGCCCUGGGGCGCAAACCGGAUUAGAUACCCGGGUAGUCCAGGGUGUAAACAAUGUGGGCUUUGUAUUGGAGGUCCCACGUGGGCGUCCAGUGCAGAAGAGAAGUUGUUAAGCCACCGCCUGGGAAGUACGGUCGCAAGGCUGAAACUUAAAGGAAUUGGCGGGGGAGCACAGCAACGGGAGGAGCGUGCGGUUU
rnacentral:rRNA from 1 species